rnacentral:rRNA from 1 species
CCCUUAGAUGUUCUGGGCCGCACGCGCGCUACACUGAUGCAUUCAACGAGCCUAUCCUUGACCGACAGGUCCGGGUAAUCUUUGAAUCUGCAUCGUGACGGGGAUAGAUUAUUGCAAUUAUUAAUCUUCAACGAGGAAUGCCUAGUAGGCGCAAGUCAUCAGCGUGCGUCGAUUACGUCCCUGCCCUUUGUACACACCGCCCGUCGCUCCUACCGAUUGGGUGUGCUGGUGAAAUGUUCGGAUCGGCCGUUUGUCGCGGUUUCCGCGUCAUGUGGCUGAGAAGUUCAUUAAACCCUCCCACCUAGAGGAAGGAGAAGUCGUAACA